CGGCGUCGAGCGGCGGACGGGUGAGUAAUGCCUAGGAAAUUGCCCUGAUGUGGGGGAUAACCAUUGGAAACGAUGGCUAAUACCGCAUGAUGCCUACGGGCCAAAGAGGGGGACCUUCGGGCCUCUCGCGUCAGGAUAUGCCUAGGUGGGAUUAGCUAGUUGGUGAGGUAAGGGCUCACCAAGGCGACGAUCCCUAGCUGGUCUGAGAGGAUGAUCAGCCACACUGGAACUGAGACACGGUCCAGACUCCUACGGGAGGCAGCAGUGGGGAAUAUUGCACAAUGGGCGCAAGCCUGAUGCAGCCAUGCCGCGUGUGUGAAGAAGGCCUUCGGGUUGUAAAGCACUUUCAGUCGUGAGGAAGGUAGUGUAGUUAAUAGCUGCAUUAUUUGACGUUAGCGACAGAAGAAGCACCGGCUAACUCCGUGCCAGCAGCCGCGGUAAUACGGAGGGUGCGAGCGUUAAUCGGAAUUACUGGGCGUAAAGCGCAUGCAGGUGGUUUGUUAAGUCAGAUGUGAAAGCCCGGGGCUCAACCUCGGAAUUGCAUUUGAAACUGGCAGACUAGAGUACUGUAGAGGGGGGUAGAAUUUCAGGUGUAGCGGUGAAAUGCGUAGAGAUCUGAAGGAAUACCGGUGGCGAAGGCGGCCCCCUGGACAGAUACUGACACUCAGAUGCGAAAGCGUGGGGAGCAAACAGGAUUAGAUACCCUGGUAGUCCACGCCGUAAACGAUGUCUACUUGGAGGUUGUGGCCUUGAGCCGUGGCUUUCGGAGCUAACGCGUUAAGUAGACCGCCUGGGGAGUACGGUCGCAAGAUUAAAACUCAAAUGAAUUGACGGGGGCCCGCACAAGCGGUGGAGCAUGUGGUUUAAUUCGAUGCAACGCGAAGAACCUUACCUACUCUUGACAUCCAGAGAACUUUCCAGAGAUGGAUUGGUGCCUUCGGGAACUCUGAGACAGGUGCUGCAUGGCUGUCGUCAGCUCGUGUUGUGAAAUGUUGGGUUAAGUCCCGCAACGAGCGCAACCCUUAUCCUUGUUUGCCAGCGAGUAAUGUCGGGAACUCCAGGGAGACUGCCGGUGAUAAACCGGAGGAAGGUGGGGACGACGUCAAGUCAUCAUGGCCCUUACGAGUAGGGCUACACACGUGCUACAAUGGCGCAUACAGAGGGCGGCCAACUUGCGAAAGUGAGCGAAUCCCAAAAAGUGCGUCGUAGUCCGGAUUGGAGUCUGCAACUCGACUCCAUGAAGUCGGAAUCGCUAGUAAUCGUGGAUCAGAAUGCCACGGUGAAUACGUUCCCGGGCCUUGUACACACCGCCCGUCACACCAUGGGAGUGGGCUGCAAAAGAAGUAGGUAGUUUAACCUUCGGGGGGACGCUUACCACUUUGUGGUUCAUGACUGGGGUGAAGUCGUAACAAGGUAGCGCUAGGGGAACCUGGCGCUG
rnacentral:rRNA from 3 species